UACGUAGGGACCAAGCGUUGUUCGGAUUUACUGGGCGUAAAGGGCGCGUAGGCGGCUUGACAAGUCACUUGUGAAAUCUCCGGGCUUAACUCGGAACGGCCAAGUGAAACUGUCAUGCUAGAGUGCAGAAGGGGCAAUCGGAAUUCUUGGUGUAGCGGUGAAAUGCGUAGAUAUCAAGAGGAACACCUGAGGUGAAGACGGGUUGCUGGGCUGACACUGACGCUGAGGCGCGAAAAGCGUGGGUAGCAAACAGG
rnacentral:rRNA from 1 species